rnacentral:rRNA from 1 species
GCAGUCGAGCGAACAAUGGGAGCUUGCUCCCAGAGGUUAGCGGCGGACGGGUGAGUAACACGUGGGCAACCUGCCCUGUAGAUCGGGAUAACAUCGAGAAAUCGGUGCUAAUACCGGAUAAUUUCUAGAAUCUCAUGGUUUUAGAAUAAAAGAUGGCUCCGGCUAUCACUACGGGAUGGGCCCGCGGCGCAUUAGCUAGUUGGUAAGGUAACGGCUUACCAAGGCGACGAUGCGUAGCCGACCUGAGAGGGUGAUCGGCCACACUGGGACUGAGACACGGCCCAGACUCCUACGGGAGGCAGCAGUAGGGAAUCUUCCGCAAUGGACGAAAGUCUGACGGAGCAACGCCGCGUGAGUGAUGAAGGAUUUCGGUUCGUAAAGCUCUGUUGUUAGGGAAGAACAAGUGUCGUUCGAAUAGGGCGGCACCUUGACGGUACCUAACCAGAAAGCCACGGCUAACUACGUGCCAGCAGCCGCGGUAAUACGUAGGUGGCAAGCGUUGUCCGGAAUUAUUGGGCGUAAAGCGCGCGCAGGCGGUCUUUUAAGUCUGAUGUGAAAGCCCACGGCUCAACCGUGGAGGGUCAUUGGAAACUGGGAGACUUGAGUACAGAAGAGGAGAGUG